rnacentral:rRNA from 1 species
GGAUUAGAUACCCUGGUAGUCCACGCAGUAAACGAUGAGUGCUAGAUAUUGGGGCAAUUAAGUCUCAGUGUCGCAGCUAACGCAUUAAGCACUCCGCCUGGGGAGUACGAUCGCAAGAUUAAAACUCAAAGGAAUUGACGGGGACCCGCACAAGCGGUGGAAGAUGUGGUUUAAUUCGAUGCUACGCGAAGAACCUUACCAGACCUUGACAUAGUAGUCGUAUUUCUAGGAGACUAGAAAGUCAGUUCGGCUGGACUAUUACAGGUGUUGCAUGGCUGUCGUCAGCUCGUGUCG